rnacentral:lncRNA from 10 species
UUUUAGUUUGCCUAUUAUCUAGCCAGUUUUUAAAUAUAUGUACAGAUGGUUCUUGAUUUAUGUGAUUCAACUUAUAAUUUUUUGACUUUAUGAUGGAUUUAUCAGGAUGUAAACCUAUCAUAAGUCAAGGAGCAUCUGAGUAUCCCAUGUAUAUUCAUGCUUUAUUACACAAUGAUCUGAUUAUUUGUCAGCACAUUUUUAAAUUCUCUAAUGAAAUGUGUGGCUUUUGUUUAUAGACUGUGGCAGGGUAUACCAUUCCUCCAGGACAUCAGGUGUGUGUUUCUCCCACUGUCAAUCAAAGACUUAAAGACUCAUGGGUAGAACGCCUGGACUUUAAUCCUGAUCGCUACUUACAGGAUAACCCAGCAUCAGGGGAAAAGUUUGCCUAUGUGCCAUUUGGAGCUGGGCGUCAUCGUUGUAUUGGGGAAAAUUUUGCCUAUGUUCAAAUUAAGACAAUUUGGUCCACUAUGCUUCGUUUAUAUGAAUUUGAUCUCAUUGAUGGAUACUUUCCCACUGUGAAUUAUACAACUAUGAUUCACACCCCUGAAAACCCAG